rnacentral:rRNA from 1 species
ACUCCUGCGGGAGGCAGCAGUGGGGAAUAUUGCACAAUGGGCGCAAGCCUGAUGCAGCCAUGCCGCGUGUAUGAAGAAGGCCUUCGGGUUGUAAAGUACUUUCAGCGGGGAGGAAGGCGAUAAGGUUAAUAACCUUGUCGAUUGACGUUACCCGCAGAAGAAGCACCGGCUAACUCCGUGCCAGCAGCCGCGGUAAUACGGAGGGUGCAAGCGUUAAUCGGAAUUACUGGGCGUAAAGCGCACGCAGGCGGUCUGUCAAGUCGGAUGUGAAAUCCCCGGGCUCAACCUGGGAACUGCAUUCGAAACUGGCAGGCUAGAGUCUUGUAGAGGGGGGUAGAAUUCCAGGUGUAGCGGUGAAAUGCGUAGAGAUCUGGAGGAAUACCGGUGGCGAAGGCGGCCCCCUGGACAAAGACUGACGCUCAGGUGCGAAAGCGUGGGGAGCAAACAGGAUUAGAAACCCCUGUAGUCCCAUGAU